rnacentral:rRNA from 1 species
GUCCAUUAAUUGUGGACCUGUAUGAAAGAAUAAACUUAAAUUUACUUUCUUUCCUUUAAAAAUGAAAUUAAAAGAAAUUAAAAAAUAAUUCUUUUGCUAUUAGACGAGAAGACCCUAAAAACUAAUUAAAAAAUAAUUUUUUGGGGAAAAUAAAUAAAAUAUUUCUUUAUAUAAAUUUAUAAAAAAACUAAAAAAUAAGUUACUUUAGGGAUAACAGAACAAUUUUUAAUAAAAGAACAAAUUUAAUUAAAAAAUUGUGACCUCGAUGUUGGAUUCUUGAAUCUUUAAAUUGCAGCAAAUUUAUUAGAAUAAACUGUUCGUUUUUUUAACCAAGACGUGAUCU